rnacentral:rRNA from 1 species
UACAGAGGGAGCUAGCGUUGUUCGGAAUUACUGGGCGUAAAGCGCGCGCAGGCGGCUUUCCAAGUCAGGUGUGAAAGCCCGGGGCUUAACUCCGGAAUUGCACUUGAAACUGGAUCGCUAGAGUAUGGUAGGGGAUAGGGGAAUUCCUAGUGUAGCGGUGAAAUGCGUAGAUAUUAGGAGGAACACCAGUGGCGAAGGCGCCUAUCUGGGCCAUUACUGACGCUGAGGCGCGAAAGCGUGGGGAGCAAACAGG